rnacentral:rRNA from 1 species
UACGUAGGUGGCAAGCGUUAUCCGGAAUUAUUGGGCGUAAAGCGCGCGCAGGCGGUUUCUUAAGUCUGAUGUGAAAGCCCACGGCUCAACCGUGGAGGGUCAUUGGAAACUGGGGAACUUGAGUGCAGAAGAGAAAAGCGGAAUUCCACGUGUAGCGGUGAAAUGCGUAGAGAUGUGGAGGAACACCAGUGGCGAAGGCGGCUUUUGGUCUGUAACUGACGCUGAGGCGCGAAAGCGUGGGGAGCAAACAGG